UGUGGGAGCGAGCCUGCUCGCGAUAGCGGUCUGACAUUCAAUACUUCGUGGCUGUCAGAUCCAAUCGCGAGCAGGCUCGCUCCCACA
rnacentral:antisense_RNA from 1 species